GGGCGUUUAGCUCAGUUGGGAGAGCAUCUGCCUUACAAGCAGGGGGUCGGCGGUUCGAGUCCGUCAACGCCCACCA
rnacentral:tRNA from 2 species